rnacentral:rRNA from 1 species
AUUGAACGCUGGCGGCAGGCCUAACACAUGCAAGUCGAGCGGAUGAAGGGAGCUUGCUCCUGGAUUCAGCGGCGGACGGGUGAGUAAUGCCUAGGAAUCUGCCUGGUAGUGGGGGAUAACGUCCUGAAACGGGCGCUAAUACCGCAUACGUCCUGAGGGAGCAAGUGGGGGAUCUUCGGACCUCACGCUAUCAGAUGAGCCUAGGUCGGAUUAGCUAGUUGGUGGGGUAAAGGCCUACCAAGGCGACGAUCCGUAACUGGUCUGAGAGGAUGAUCAGUCACACUGGAACUGAGACACGGUCCAGACGCCUACGGGAGGCAGCAGUGGGGAAUAUUGGACAAUGGGCGAAAGCCUGAUCCAGCCAUGCCGCGUGUGUGAAGAAGGUCUUCGGAUUGUAAAGCACUUUAAGUUGGGAGGAAGGGCAGUAAGUUAAUACCUUGCUGGUUUGACGUUACCAACAGAAUAAGCACCGGCUAACUUCGUG